GAUGAACGCUAGCGGGAGGCUUAAUACAUGCAAGUCGAGCGGUAGAGCGAUUUCGGUUGCUCGAGAGCGGCGCACGGGUGAGUAACGCGUACGCAACUUACCUCCAAGCGGGGCAUAGCCCCGGGAAACGUGGGAUUAAUACCCCACUAGUUUGUCACUGGCUGCAUGGUCAGUGCAAUAAAGUUGAGGCGCUUGGAGAUAGGCGUGCGUCUGAUUAGGUAGUUGGUAGGGUAACGGCCUACCAAGCCGACGAUCAGUAGGGGGCGGUGAGAGCGUGGCCCCCCACCACGGGUACGUGAGACACGGACCC
rnacentral:rRNA from 1 species